ACUCUAGUGCAUAAUUGUUUAAUUGUUUGUUUUGUAGUUUUCAAGUUCAGUUGGUUUGCAUGGCUGCCUUCGUUGACAGGAUAGUUCGACUCGUUCGUUGAUUUGUAUUUCAAUAGGAAAUUAUUAAUUGUAAUUCCGUGUUUCCGAUCAUAGGGAGUAAUAAUUGAUUUUAAAGUACAUGUGAGAAUUUGAGUAUUUUUUAUAUUGGAAGUAGUGAAUUAAUAGUAAAAUUGAGAAGCAGAAUUCCAUGCAUGAUUCAACAACUCUCAGCAGUACCUGGCUACAUCAUAAAUCAUCAGAGGAGGGUGAAACUAGGGCAAUAUGCGCUCUCACAAAAUAAUUGACCUAUAGUACCAUUGCAAAUUCUUGUCACAAAUUCUACAAAAACCAUAAGUGUGACUGACCUGAACCGGCCUUCCUCGAGCAGCUUGCAUGUGCCGGCGUUGCGACAGGGAUUGCCGUAGCAGGCGUCGAUCAUGUGCUCGCAGUGAGGUCCGUGGUAGCCAGGGUUGCAGCGGCACUUGUACUGCCGGUCGGCCUGUGGCUCGCACUGGCCCUGGUUCGAGCAUGGGAAUGUGAAGCAUGCGUCGCACUUGGACAGGAUCUCAUAGCUCACCGAACCUACGCACAAGUCAUUUGAAAUAGGCUAUUGAAUAAAAAAACUUAAAUGGGAAGUCGAAAUAGCAUCUAUAUUAUUGGCACAUGAUAUAUUAGCAUCUUAAUAUUUUUCAUUAUCAUUACAUACGGUACAGUAUGAUACCUACUUGAAAAAAUAUAGAAGAAAGUAAGCAU